rnacentral:rRNA from 1 species
AAUAUUGGACAAUGGGGGAAAGCCUGAUCCAGCCAUCCCGCGUGUUUGAUGAAGGCCUUCGGAUUGUAACGCACUUUAGGCAGAGAGGAAUAGCAAUACCUUAAUACGUGGUGAUGUUGACGUUAUCUGCAGAAUAAGCACCGGCUAACUACGUGCCAGCAGCCGCGGUAAUACGUAGGGUGCAAGCGUUAAUCGGAAUUACUGGGCGUAAAGCGUGUGUAGGUGGUUCGUUAAGAUAGAAGUGAAAGCCCAGGGCUCAACCUGGGAACUGCAUUUAAAACUGGCGAGCUAGAGUAUGUCAGAGGGGGGUAGAAUUCCACGUGUAGCAGUGAAAUGCGUAGAUAUGGGGAGGAAUACCAAUGGCGAAGGCAGCCCCCUGGGAUAAUACUGACGCUCAGACGCGAAAGCGUGGGGAGCAAACAGG